GCCGAGGAGCGUUGCAACGGGCAUGAUCCCGCCAGGCUCGGAUUCACGGCGUCUAUCCUUGACCAACGGCGCUCAGU
rnacentral:ncRNA from 1 species